GCCGGGAGGGGGCGAAUACAAGACCCGAAAGGGAAAUCAGCCCAUCCGACCUGUGUGCGGUUUUUCGACUCCCGGCUCCCGGCC
rnacentral:ncRNA from 1 species